GACGAACGCUGGCGGCGUGCUUACUUUUGCAAGUCGAACGAGGACCUUCCUUCGGGAAUGGAUUAGGGGCGAACGGGGGAGGAACACCUGACAAACCUGCCUUUCUUUUUGGGAUAACCCCGGGAAACCGGGGCUAAUACCGAAUACUCCGUCUCGUUGGCAUCGCUGAGCCGGCAAAAAUUUUUGAUGAAAGAUGGUCUCGCGACCUAUCACCUAGUUGGUGAGGCAAUGGUUCACCAAGGCGACGACGGGUAGCCGGCCUGAGAGGGCGACCGGCCACCCUGGGACUGAGGACACGGCCCAGACUCCUACGGGAGGCGGCGGUGGGGAAUUUUGGCCAUGGGGCGCAAGCCUGACCCGCCGACGCCGCGUGAGGUAUGAAGGCCUUCGGGUUGUAAACCUCUUUCAGUAGGAAAGAACCGAAAGUGACGGUACCUAAAGAAAAAGCACCGGCUAACUAUGUGCCACCAGCCCCGGUAAUA
rnacentral:rRNA from 1 species